rnacentral:rRNA from 1 species
UACGUAGGGGGCAAGCGUUGUCCGGAAUUAUUGGGCGUAAAGAGCGCGUAGGCGGUCCGAUAAGUCGGCUGUGAAAGUCAGGGGCUCAACCCUUGAAAGCCGGCCGAUACUGUCGGACUAGAGUCCGGAAGAGGCAAGUGGAAUUCCCGGUGUAGCGGUGAAAUGCGCAGAGUAUCGGGAGGAACACCAAUGGCGAAGGCG